rnacentral:rRNA from 1 species
UACAGAGGUCUCAAGCGUUGUUCGGAUUCAUUGGGCGUAAAGGGUGCGUAGGCGGCGCGGUAAGUCGGGUGUGAAAUCUUGGAGCUUAACUCCGAAACUGCAUUCGAUACUGCCGUGCUUGAGGACUGGAGAGGAGACUGGAAUUUACGGUGUAGCGGUGAAAUGCGUAGAUAUCGUAAGGAAGACCAGUGGCGAAGGCGGGUCUCUGGACAGUUCCUGACGCUGAGGCACGAAGGCCCAGGGGAGCAAACGGG